AGUGGGGUGGAGUAGUUGGUAACUCGCGGGUCCCAUAAACCCGAGGUCGCCGGUUCGAGUCCGGCCCCCACNN
rfam:Planctomycetes bacterium RBG_16_64_12 RBG_16_scaffold_37015, whole genome shotgun sequence.